rnacentral:rRNA from 1 species
AGUGAACGCUGGCGGUAGGCCUAACACAUGCAAGUCGAACGGCAGCACAGUAAGAGCUUGCUCUUACGGGUGGCGAGUGGCGGAAGGGUGAGGAAUACAUCGGAAUCUACUUUUUCGUGGGGGAUAACGUAGGGAGACUUACGCUAAUAUAGCAUACCACCUACGGUUGAAAGCAGGGGAACUUCGGACCUUGCGCGGAUGGAUGAGCAGAUGUCGGACUAGCUAGUUGGCGGGGUAAAGGCCCACCCAGGCGAAGAUCCGUAGCUGGUCUGAGUGGAUGGUCAGCCACACUGGAACUGAGACACGGUCCAGACUCCUACGGGAGGCAGCAGUGGGGAAUAUUGGACAAUGGGCGCAAGCCUGAUCCAGCCAUCCCGCGUGGGUGAAGAAGGCCUUCGGGUUGUAAAGCCCGUUUGUUGGGAAAGAAAAGCAGCAGGUUAAUACCACGCUGUUCUGACGGUACCCAAAGAAUAAGCACCGGCUAACUUCGUG